UACGUAGGGCGCAAGCGUUGUCCGGAAUUAUUGGGCGUAAAGAGCUCGUAGGCAGUUUGUCGCGUCGGAUGUGAAAGCCCGGGGCUUAACCCCGGGUCUGCAUUCGAUACGGGCAGACUAGAGUGUGGUAGGGGAGAUCGGAAUUCCUGGUGUAGCGGUGAAAUGCGCAGAUAUCAGGAGGAACACCGGUGGCGAAGGCGGAUCUCUGGGCCAUUACUGACGCUGAGGAGCGAAAGCGUGGGGAGCGAACAGG
rnacentral:rRNA from 1 species